AACGAACGCUGGCGGCAUGCCUAACACAUGCAAGUCGAACGAGACCUUCGGGUCUUUUGGCGCACGGGUGCGUAACGCGUGGGAACCUUCCCUUAUGUUCGGCAUACCUCCCCGACAGGGGUGCUAAUACCGGAUAAUGUCUUCUGACCAAAGAUUUAUCGCCUUUGGAUGGGCCCGCGUUGGAUUAGCUAGUUGGUAGGGUAAAAGCCUACCAAGGCGACGAUCCAUAACUGGUUUGAGAGGAUGAUCAGCCACACUUGGACUGAGACACGGCCCAGACUCCUACGGGAGGGAGCAGAGGGGGAUAUUGGACAAUGGGCGAAAGGCUGAUGCAGCAAUGCCGGGUGAGUGAUGAAGGCAUUAGGGUUGUAAAGCUCUUUUAACCGGGAUGAUAAUGACAGUACCGGGAGAAUAAGCUCCGGCUAACUCCGUG
rnacentral:rRNA from 1 species